GAUGAACGCUGGCGGCGUGCCUAAUACAUGCAAGUCGAGCGAAGCGGGGACGGGUGAGUAACACGUGGAUAACCUCCUAUAAGACUGGGAUAACUUCGGGCAACCGGAGCCAAACCGGAAACUUAUAGAUGGAUCCGCGCUGCAUUAGCUAGUUGGUAAGGUAACGGCUUACCAAGGCAACGAUGCAUAGCCGACCUGAUAGGGUGGUCGGCCCAAUCGGUACUGAGAAGCGGUCCAGACUCCUACGGGAUGCAGCAUUAGGGAAUCUUCCGCAAUGGGAGGAAACCUGACGGAGCAAAGCCGCUGGAGUGAUGAAGGUCUUCUGAUCGUAGAACUCUGUUAUUAGGGAAGCGGUACCUAAUCAGAAGGCCACGGCUAACUACGUGCCAGCAGCCGCGGUAAUAC
rnacentral:rRNA from 1 species